rnacentral:lncRNA from 1 species
AUUCAACUACAGCUGUUUGGGCCCAGCGCAUUGACACAUUCAGACUCCCCCCUCGCCCCGCCCCCACGGGGCCCUGUGACAGCGCUGCUGGAAGCAGAGAGGACACUCUGCAGGCUGCAAGGAAAGACAGCAAAAGAAAGGAGCAGAGGACAAAACAAGAGAGGUGCUGUGCUUAAACACCUGUCUGUGUCUCCUCAUGAAGAUGCCACAACCUCCACAGAUGAAGGUCAUGUGGAGCCCUGUGAGGAAACUCCAGAGGACGUCCCAGCAGCAGUCCAACACCUGAGAGCCUCCACUCCUUCCUCUGCUCCUCCAGCACCUGACCUGGUAACAGAGGAAGGUUCCAAGGUGUCCAGGUCUCACUGAUGAUCCUGCACUGUAGACAAACUUAAUAAUAACAAUACUAGUCAUCAUAUCUUGUGUUGUCAGUGGUGGAGGAAGUACUGAUGUUUAGUACUUAAGUGAAAGUACAAUUACCCAGCCAAAUAUAUACUCAAGUA